CAUGCAAGUCGAGGGGAAACGACAUCGAAAGCUUGCUUUUGAUGGGCGUCGACCGGCGCACGGGUGAGUAACGCGUAUCCAACCUGCCCACCACUUGGGGAUAACCUUGCGAAAGUAAGACUAAUACCCAAUGACGUCUCUAGAAGACAUCUGAAAGAGAUUAAAGAUUUAUCGGUGAUGGAUGGGGAUGCGUCUGAUUAGCUUGUUGGCGGGGUAACGGCCCACCAAGGCGACGAUCAGUAGGGGUUCUGAGAGGAAGGUCCCCCACAUUGGAACUGAGACACGGUCCAAACUCCUACGGGAGGCAGCAGUGAGGAAUAUUGGUCAAUGGGCGAGAGCCUGAACCAGCCAAGUAGCGUGCAGGAUGACGGCCCUAUGGGUUGUAAACUGCUUUUAUAAGGGAAUAAAGUGAGUCUCGUGAGACUUUUUGCGUGUACCUUAUGAAUAAGGACCGGCUAAUUCCGUGCCAGCAGCCGCGGUAAUACGGAAGGUCCGGGCGUUAUCCGGAUUUAUUGGGUUUAAAGGGAGCGUAGGCCGGAGAUUAAGCGUGUUGUGAAAUGUAGACGCUCAACGUCUGCACUGCAGCGCGAACUGGUUUCCUUGAGUACGCACAAAGUGGGCGGAAUUCGUGGUGUAGCGGUGAAAUGCUUAGAUAUCACGAAGAACUCCGAUUGCGAAGGCAGCUCACUGGAGCGCAACUGACGCUGAAGCUCGAAAGUGCGGGUAUCGAACAGGAUUAGAUACCCUGGUAGUCCGCACGGUAAACGAUGGAUGCCCGCUGUUGGUCUGAAUAGGUCAGCGGCCAAGCGAAAGCAUUAAGCAUCCCACCUGGGGAGUACGCCGGCAACGGUGAAACUCAAAGGAAUUGACGGGGGCCCGCACAAGCGGAGGAACAUGUGGUUUAAUUCGAUGAUACGCGAGGA
rnacentral:rRNA from 1 species